rnacentral:rRNA from 1 species
GACGAACGCUGGCGGCGUGCUUAACACAUGCAAGUCGAACGGAAAGGCCCUGAGUUUGUGCGGUGCUCGAGUGGCGAACGGGUGAGCAUCACGUGAGUAACCUGCUCUUGACUUUGGGAGAAAUUCAGGAAACUGGGGCUAAUACCGGAUAGGAGCUCCUGUUGCAGGGUGGGGGAUGGAAAGUUUCGGCGGUUGGGGAUGGACUGGCGGCUUAUCAGCUAGUUGGGGGGGUAGUGGCUUACCAAGGCUUUGACGGAUAGCCGGCAUGAGAGGGUGUACGGCCACCUUGGGCCUUAGCUACGGCCCAGACUGCAACGGGAGGCAACAGUGGGAAAUCUUGCACAGUGGGCGGAAGCCUGAUGCAGCGACGCCCCGAGCGGAAAGCCGGCCUUCGGGUUGUAAACCGCUUUCGCCUGUGACGAAGCGUGUGUGACGGUACUGGAUCAAGAAGCACCGGCUAACUACGUG